ensembl:lncRNA
AUGGCUUUUUUCUGGCCACUCUUCCGCAAAGCCCAGCUCUGUGGAGUGUACGGCUUAAAGUGGUCCUAUGGACAGAUACUCCAAUCAUACAUACAGUACAUACAGUACAUCCAGUACAUACAGUACAUAGUACAUACAUACAGUACAUACAGUACAUCCAGUACAUACAUACAUACAGUACAUCCAGUACAUACAUACAUACAUAGUACAUACAUACAGUACAUACAUACAGUACAUACAGUACAUACAUACAUACAUACAUACAUACAUACAUACAUACAUACACAGUACAUACAUACACUACAUACUGUACAUACAUACUGUACAUACAUACAUGCUGUACAUACAUACUGUACAUACAUACAUGCUGUACAUACAUACAUGCUGUACAUACAUACAUACAGUACAUACAUACAUACAUGCUGUACAUACAUACAUACAUGCUGUACAUACAUACAUACAUGCUGUACAUACAUACAUACAUGCUGUACAUACAUACAUACAUGCUGUACAUACAUACAUACAUACAUGCUGUACAUACAUGCUGUACAUACAUACAUACAUACAUACAGCACAUACAUACAUACAUACAUACAUACAUACAUACAUACUGUACAUACAUACAUACUGUACAUACUAUACAUACAUACUGUACAUACUAUACAUACAGUACAUACAUACAUACAUACAUACACACACACACACACACACACAUACAUACAUACUGUACAUACAUACAUACUGUACAUACAUACAUACAUACAUACAUACUGUACAUACAUACAUACAUACAUACAUACAUACAUACUGUACAUACAUACAUACAUACUGUACAUACAUACAUACUGUACAUACAUACAUACAUACAUACAUACUGUACAUACAUACAUACUGUACAUACAUACAUACAUACAUACUGUACAUACAUACAUACAUACAUACAUACAUAUAUACAUACAUACUGUACAUACAUACAUACAUACAUACUGUACAUACAUACAUACAUACAUAUAUACAUACUGUAUAUACAUAUAUACAUACAUACUGUACAUACAUACAUACUGUACAUACAUACAUACAUACAUACUGUAUAUACAGUAUAUACAUACAUACAUACUGUACAUACAUACAUACUGUACAUACAUACAUACAUACAUACAUACAUACAGUAUAUACAUACAUACAGUAUAUACAUACAUACAUACUGUACAUACAUACAUACUGUACAUACAUACAUACAUACAUACAUACAUACUGUACAUACAUACAGUACAUACAUACUGUACAUACAUACAUACAUACAUACAUACAUACAGUACAUACAUACAUACAUACAUACAUACAUACAUACAUACAUACAUACAGUAUAUACAUACAUACAUACAUACAGUAUAUACAUACAUACAGUAUAUACAUAUAUACAUACAUACUGUACAUACAUACAUACAUACAUACUGUACAUACAUACAUACUGUACAUACAUACAUACAUACAUACAUACAUACAUACAUACAUACAUACAUACAUACAUACAUACAUACAUACAUACAUACUGUACAUACAUACAUACAUACAUACAUACAUACAUACAUACUGUACAUAUAUACAUACAUACCACUUUUCAGUUUUUUAUAUUUUAGAAUUCAAGUGAUUUUUUUUAUUUCACUAUUUUGUCCAUUACAAACACAAAUCCAUUUAAAUUACAGGUUGUAA